GAUGAACGCUGGCGGCGUGCCUAAUACAUGCAAGUCGAGCGAAUGGAUUAAGAGCUUGCUCUUAUGAAGUUAGCGGCGGACGGGUGAGUAACACGUGGGUAACCUGCCCAUAAGACUGGGAUAACUCCGGGAAACCGGGGCUAAUACCGGAUAACAUUUUGAACCGCAUGGUUCGAAAUUGAAAGGCGGCUUCGGCUGUCACUUAUGGAUGGACCCGCGUCGCAUUAGCUAGUUGGUGAGGUAACGGCUCACCAAGGCAACGAUGCGUAGCCGAACUGGGAGGGGGAUCGGCCACACUGGGACUGAGACACGGCCAAGACUCCUACGGGAGGCAGCAGUAGGGAAUCUUCCGCCAUGGACGAAAGUCUGACGGAGCAACGCCGCGUGAGUAAUGAAGGCUUUCGGGUCGUAAAACUCUGUUGUUAGGGAAGAACAAGUGCUAGUUGAAUAAGCUGGCACCUUGACGGUACCUAACCAGAAAGCCACGGCUAACUACGUGCCAGCAGCCGCCGUAA
rnacentral:rRNA from 1 species